rnacentral:rRNA from 1 species
AGUGAACGCUGGCGGUAGGCCUAACACAUGCAAGUCGAACGGCAGCACAGGAGAGCUUGCUCUCUGGGUGGCGAGUGGCGGACGGGUGAGGAAUACAUCGGAAUCUACUUUUUCGUGGGGGAUAACGUAGGGAAACUUACGCUAAUACCGCAUACGACCUACGGGUGAAAGCAGGGGACCUUCGGGCCUUGCGCGAUUGAAUGAGCCGAUGUCGGAUUAGCUAGUUGGCGGGGUAAAGGCCCACCAAGGCGACGAGCCGUAGCUGGUCUGAGAGGAUGAUCAGCUAAACUGGAACUGAGACACGGUCCAGACUCCUACGGGAGGCAGCAGUGGGGAAUAUUGGACAAUGGGCGCAAGCCUGAUCCAGCCAUACCGCGUGGGUGAAGAAGGCCUUCGGGUUGUAAAGCCCUUUUGUUGGGAAAGAAAUCCAGCUGGCUAAUACCCGGUUGGGAUGACGGUACCCAAAGAAUAAGCACCGGCUAACUUCGUGCCAGCCGCCGCCGUAA